rnacentral:rRNA from 1 species
AGUGAACGCUGGCGGUAGGCCUAACGCAUGCAAGUCGAACGGCAGCACAGUAAUAGCUUGCUCCUACGGUUGCCGAGUGGCGGAUGGGUCAUGGGUGCAUCGCAAUCUACUUUUUCGUGGGCGAUAACGUAGGGAUACUUUCCCUAAUACCACAUACGACUUACGUGUUAAAUCAGGAGAUCUUUCGAUCUUGCGCGAUUUCAUGAGCCGAUGUCGGAUUAGCUAGUUGGCGGGGUAACGGCCCACCGAGGCGACGAUCCGCUGCUGGUCUGAGCGGAUGAACAGGCACACUGGGAGUGAGAGACGGUCCAGAGUCCGACGGGAGGCAGAAGUGGGGAAGAUUGGAAAAAGGGCGGAAGACUGAACAAGCGAUGCAGGGUGGGUGAAGAAGGGCUGCGGGGUGUAAAGCGCUUUUGUUGGGGAAGAAAAGCAGCAGGAUAAAAGAAGGCUGUUGUGACGGUACCUAAAGAAUAAGCACCGGCUAACUUCGUG